UGAACGACAAUUCGGCAAUAUUUUAUUUUUAUUAAUAUAUUUUUUCCUGAACUUUUCUGUUAUAAAAGAUGAUGAGCGUAGAGAGAGAGAGAGAGAAGCGAUACUAUUUUUUCGAUCGCACGCGAUUUUACCAACUUGAUUGAUUGAUUGGUUUCUAUUAAUAUACAAACCGCUAACGGGUCGAUAAUAGAAAAUUAACACAGUUUGAAAUUUCCCCCCAUUAAAAUUUUUAGCAGAUUAAAAAUUAUAUUAGGAUCGAUAUUUUUAGAUUCGCCACCCCUAUAGAUUAAGGAAAUGCUGUCCCAUUUCCUUGACUGAUAAUAAAUCUAUAAUGUUUUUCAAUUUUGAAGCUAUUAGAUGCACGUAUUUCCAUAAGGAAGCAUUUAGUUAGUUUAUGUGUGUAAUAUGUGCUUUUUCGCUUAUUUUAUGCGUGAGAAACGUACUCGAAUAUGUCUCUCGUUCGUGACGGAGCAAUUAUUAUACAGUUUUAUGAGCGAGAAAGCGACUUUUACGCCUGAGAACAGAAACUACGCGGUGGUAUAUUGGUCAAUUAAUACUUAUUUUUUUAUAAUACGAAAAUUUGUUUUUUGAAGAUAAAAAAGCGCAUUUCACAGUUCCGUAACUGAGAAACGAAUCGUAAAAACCUAUUAAUACGUCGUCGUAUCGUUAAAAAAUAGAUUUCUGCUAAUUACUCACUAAAAAUCGCAAAAAAAGGAAUUCUCUUCUGAAUUUUUCUCUUGGAAACUAAAAAGAGAAGAGGAUAUUCGAUAAUCGAUAAGUUUCGCGAUAAAAAUAAGCGUUGUUUAAAUUUACUUUUUAAGUGUUUAGAGUUAUAAAUUGGAUCAUUCGAAUGGUGUAAAGCUUCUUAACUCCACCCUAUCCGAUCACAGGAUCAAGUCCACUGAACCCAGAAGUUUAUCGUUAUACGCCAGUCAAGCAAGUAAUGUUUGGAAUUUUGAUAUUUUCUCGACUAGUUUACGAUGACAAAAUGAGCUUCGACGCAAUGGGAUCGAAUGGAAAAGUCGAAGACGAGUCAAGCUUCGUUAAUUAUAUUAGUGUGACAAGCACGACUUAAUUAAAGUUACAUACUGUUAACAUCAUCUCGCAUGGGAAAAGCAAUCUUUUAAGAAAACAGGAAAGCGUACAGAAAAGCCCAUUAAAAACUCUUUCUAUGUAUCAAAACCGUUUUCCCAAAAAGAUUUAAGCCUGUCCAAUCAGACGUUACAGUAGAAAAAAAUGUCUGCAGACACAAAGAACAGCUGGUUUGAGGGAUGUGACAUAGUCUACAAACAGGAAAGUUUAUACAGGUGUCUCGGAAUCUUUUUUUUUUCCUUCUCUUCUUCUUCUUUUUCAUUCUUUUUUCGGUUGCUGCUGCAUUUCCCUUGCCAUGAGAUGAAUUUGAGUUUUUUCUGGCAUCACAAUAUAGUGUUCGCUCAACACAUUCAUCCCAAGCUAGCCGUGACCUAGUUUUAGUUGACACAAAAUCCCUUUUUGGUAUGAUCAAUUGCCAAUAUGCAAAAAGGAUAUAUUGUCUGCUAAGAAUCUAAGACUUUCGGUUUCUUUUUAUAAUCGGUGGCAUAUAAAAAGGAAAUUUUGAAAAGAUGAGGGUAGUUUUUUAAUAGGUGUAACUUCAAUACCCUUCUAUUUAAUACUGACAAUUAGUUGCGCGAUGUAUGUAUGUGAUACGUCUUAUAUUCGAUCACUUACACUUCUCUCUACUGUAUAUAUAUUUUAAAACUAAUUGAGGGCAAUGUUAUUAAAGGUGAAAAGUUAAAAGUUUAACAAUGAAAGAGAUGUGAUUGAAAAUGAAACAGCUACAAUCACCAUCAUUUUCUUUAAAGUGCCUACAGACAUCGUUAUACUCGACGGUCACUCAUCCAUGAGGUUUCUGUUAGUCAUUCGAUGUUUAGAAAGAGAGAGAGACGAAAAAAAAACUCCUGAAAAAAUAUAUCCCAACGAAACUGGGUCUAUGAAGUAGAAAAACACUCAAAAAACUUAGUGGUUUUUGCGUGAUGCGAUUUUCUCCUUUGUUAAAUUGUCACAUUUCGAUGAUUUUUCUUUUAUUUCAACACUUCUUUUAUUUAUUUUAAAAUACCUACAGAAUGAUUUCUGGUUAAUAAACCGAUUACUAAUCUUCGUGUUGGAGUAAAUUAAUAAAAAAAAAAAUUUUUUUUUAAAGAAGUAACUCGAUUUACUUAAUGUUUCGGUG
rnacentral:lncRNA from 1 species